UACAGAGGGUGCAAGCGUUGUUCGGAAUUACUGGGCGUAAAGCGCGCGCAGGCGGGUUUGUAAGUCGGAAGUGAAAUCUCACUGCUCAACGGUGGGGCUGCUUCUGAUACUGCAAAUCUUGAGACCGGUAGAGGUUGGUAGAAUUCCAGGUGUAGCGGUGAAAUGCGUAGAUAUCUGGAGGAACACCGGUGGCGAAGGCGGCAUCCUGGACCGGCAUUGACGCUGAGGCGCGAAAGCUAGGGGAGCAAACGGG
rnacentral:rRNA from 1 species